rnacentral:rRNA from 1 species
AAGAUGGCGACCGGCGCACGGGUGAGUAACACGUAUCCAACCUGCCGAUAACUCGGGGAUAGCCUUUCGAAAGAAAGAUUAAUACCCGAUGGCAUAGUUCUUCCGCAUGGUAGAACUAUUAAAGAAUUUCGGUCAUCGAUGGGGAUGCGUUCCAUUAGGUUGUUGGCGGGGUAACGGCCCACCAAGCCUUCGAUGGAUAGGGGUUCUGAGAGGAAGGUCCCCCACAUUGGAACUGAGACACGGUCCAGACUCCUACGGGAGGCAGCAUG